rnacentral:lncRNA from 1 species
GCGGCCGCAGGUAGCUGAGCUGGAGCUAGCACAAGCCUGCAAUGUGAACACGAUGGCUGGAGCUCCGGCAGCCAUUCUGGACCAGGAGGUAGCCUUGAAGAUGGAAGCCACAUGUUGGGAUGGUGAAUCCAAAAGAUGAGGAGCCUGUAUCCCCUGUGACACCAGAACUGCCAUACCAGCCCUGGGUUCCUCCAUCUAUACUGCCUUCAUAUGGUAAAGAAAUAUUCUUGGAUCUUGUUAGGUGUCUGUUGCAGCCAAACACAAUCCCAACUGAUAUUCACUGUAAAUGAUUCCAUGGCUCCCUGUAGUACUUCUACAAAGCAUCUAUCACAAUUGUAAUUAAUAAAAUAAUUAUGCAAUUACUGGUUUAAUGCCUAAAAAAAAAAAAAAAAA